rnacentral:rRNA from 1 species
CCUGAGAAAUCCAAAAGUUCGAAUGGAGAGAUUCAGCGUCAGUGAUCGUUGGCUUGCGUGUUGUCGCGAUGCUCGGGCUUGCCAGCUAGCCUUUGGUUAUUUGGCGGGCCCGUGGCACGCGCCUGCUGCGUCAUGUCCGGCGUCAUCGGCGUGCACUUCUCUCCUAGUAGGACGUCGCGACCCGUUGGGUGUCGAUCAACGGCCCGUCUGACAGACUGUCGCGCUAGAGCGCGUCAGGUCACAUCGGUGCUUGUUGUUACCCGAUCGACUGCUCGACGGUAUUGAAUGCUUUUUUAUAUCAAGAUUGGUAUCGAGCCGCAAUCUCGAAUGCGUUCGGUUUGUCGAUCGUCGGGGUCUCGCGCGGAUUUCACGGACCUAGAGCCGUCGCCGUGCGCCUGGCUCAUUCGAUCGUCAAUGUCCUCGAACUGGCUCCGGGCAAGGGGACCUCGCGUCCUCCUUCUCGCAACUUACCGGCCAGCGACGCUUUUGCUUUGGAUACUUUCAGG